UAGCUCAGUUGGUAGAGCAGAGGACUGAAAAUCCUCGUGUCGCUGGUUCGAUUCCGGCUCUGGG
rnacentral:tRNA from 1 species